rnacentral:rRNA from 1 species
ACUGCUCAGUAACACGUGGAUAACCUACCCAAGAGUCCGGGAUAACCCCGGGAAACUGGGGAUAAUACCGGAUAGAUCACUUCGGCUGGAAGGCGUUGUGGUUGAAACUUCCGGGGCUUUUGGAUGGGUCUGCGGCUGAUUAGGUUGUUGCCGGUGUAAUGUACCGUCAAGCCUGUAAUCAGUACGGGUUGUGGGAGCAAGAGCCCGGAGAUGGAUUCUGAGACACGAAUCCAGGCCCUACGGGGCGCAGCAAGCGCGAAAACUCUACAAUGCAGGCAACUGCGAUAGGGGAACAUCGAGUGAUCCUCAUAUUGGGGGUCUGUCCACCCGCCUAAAAAGCGGGUGUUAGCAAGGGCCGGGCAAGACCGGUGCCAGCCGCCGCGGUAAUACCGGCGGCUCGAGUGGUGGCCGAUAUUAUUGAGUCUAAAGGGUCCGUAGCCGGCUUUGCAAGUCUCUCGGGAAAUCCAGCGGCUUAACCGUUGGUCGUCCGGGGGGUACUACAUUGCUUGGGACUGGGAGAGGUAGGAGGUACUCAGGGGGUAGGAGUGAAAUCCUGUAAUCCUUUGGGGACCACCGGUGGCGAAGGCGUCCUACCAGAACAGGUCCGACGGUGAGGGACGAAAGCUAGGGGCACGAACCGGAUUAGAUACCCGGGUAGUCCUAGCCGUAAACGAUGCUCGCUAGGUGUCACAACAGUCGUGAACUGUUGUGGUGCCGUAGGGAAGCCGUGAAGCGAGCCACUUGGGAAAUACGACCGCAAGGUUGAAACUUAAAGGAAUUGGCGGGGGAGCA